UACGGGGGGGGCAAGCGUUGUUCGGAAUUACUGGGCGUAAAGGGCUCGUAGGCGGCCAACUAAGUCGGAUGUGAAAUCCCCAGGCUCAACCUGGGAACUGCAUCCGAUACUGGAUGGCUUGAAUUCGGGAGAGGGAUGCAGAAUUCCAGGUGUAGCGGUGAAAUGCGUAGAUAUCUGGAGGAAUACCGGUGGCGAAGGCGGGUCUCUGGGCAACAACUGACGCUGAGGAGCGAAAGCGUGGGGAGCGAACAGG
rnacentral:rRNA from 1 species